rnacentral:rRNA from 1 species
UACGGAAGGCAGCAGUGGGGAAUAUUGCACAAUGGGCGCAAGCCUGAUGCAGCCAUGCCGCGUGUAUGAAGAAGGCCUUCGGGUUGUAAAGUACUUUCAGUCGUGAGGAAGGUGUUAAGGUUAAUAACCUUAGCAAUUGACGUUAGCGACAGAAGAAGCACCGGCUAACUCCGUGCCAGCAGCCGCGGUAAUACGGAGGGUGCGAGCGUUAAUCGGAAUUACUGGGCGUAAAGGGCACGCAGGCGGUUAAUUAAGUUGGAUGUGAAAUCCCCGGGCUUAACCUGGGAAUGGCAUUCAAGACUGGUUAGCUAGAGUCUUGUAGAGGGGGUAGAAUUCCAUGUGUAGCGGUGAAAUGCGUAGAGAUGUGGAGGAAUACCGGUGCGAAGGCGGCCCCUGGACAAAGGACUGACGCUCAUGUGCGAAAGCGUGGGGAGCAAAC